GCGAAAGUAAGAAAGGGCGUAUGGCGGAUGCCUAGGCUCACGGAGGCGAUGAAGGACGUGAUAAGCUGCGAUAAGCCUUGGGUAGAUGCAAAUAAUCUUUGAUCCAGGGAUUUCCGAAUGGGACAACCCAGCUAGCUGAAGGCUAGUUAUCCUGACUUAAGUUAGGAGGCGAACGGAGGGAACUGAAACAUCUUAGUACCUCCAGGAAGAGAAAAUAACAAUGAUUCCCCCAGUAGUGGCGAGCGACCGGGGAAGAGCCCAAACCGGUGUUGUAGCAAUGCAAUGCCGGGGUUGUAGGACCACGUCGUAGUACACAAAUUGCGAGAAGAAGCAUCUGGAAAGUUGCACCGUAGAAGAUGACAGUUCUGUAUUCGAAGCAAGAUGUGGCUUAGUGGUAUCCUGAGUAACGCGGGACACGAGAAAUCCUGCGCGAAUCUGCCGGGCCCAUCCGGCAAGGCUAAAUACUCCCGUGAGACCGAUAGUGAACGAGUACCGUGAGGGAAAGGUGAAAAGCACCCCUAUUAGGGGAGUGAAAUAGUACCUGAAACCAUGCGCCUACAAGCGGUCGGAGCUUUAUUAUGAAGUGACGGCGUGCCUUUUGCAUAAUGAACCUACGAGUUACCAUGUCGUGCGAGGUUAAGAGUGAUGACACUCCGAGCCGCAGUGAAAGCGAGCCUGAACAGGGCGUUUAGUACGAUGGGGUAGACGCGAAACCGAGUGAUCUACACAUGUCCAGGAUGAAGUCCCGGUAACACGGGAUGGAGGUCCGCACCGAUAAGCGUUGAAAAGCUUCCGGAUGAGGUGUGUGUAGGAGUGAAAGGCCAAUCAAACUCGGAGAUAGCUCGUACUCCCCGAAAGGCAUUUAGGUGCCGCGUGCUGUGUUCUCUGUGAGAGGUAGAGCGACCGAUAGGUCAAGAGGGCUUCACCGCCUAUCGCGACCUGACGAACUCCGAAUGCUCACAGACUGUAGCAGUGCAGUAAGGGUGCGGGUGCUAAGGUCCGUGCCCGAGAGGAGAAGAAUCCAGACCGCCGUCUAAGGUCCCGGAGUGCUGCCUGAGUUAGUCUAACGAAGUAUGGUCCCUGAGACAGCCAGGAUGUUGGCUUGGAAGCAGCCAUUCAUUCAAAGAGUGCGUAACAGCUCACUGGUCGAGGGUCCGUGCAUGGAUAAUAAUCGGGUAUAAGGCAGCCACCGAAGGCGCGGGAUAGCAAUAAUAAAAGUAUCGGUAGGGGAGCAUUCUAAUGGCGUCGAAGGCAGAGAGACGAUUUCUGCUGGAGCAGUUAGAAAAGCAAAUGUAGGUAUAAGUAACGAUUAGGGGUGUGAGAUCCACCCCCGCCAUACGGCUAAGGUUUCCCGGGCGAUGUUCGUCAUCCCGGGGUCAGUCGGGUCCUAAGGCUACGCCGAGCGGCUAGGCCGAUGGCUGACACGGUUAAUAUUCCGUGACUUCCACUAGGAGCGAUUGUGGUGACGCAGUAGUGAAACUGCCGCGCGCUGACGGAAAUGCGCGUUAAAGGUUGUAGGCUAUGAGGAAGGCAGGCAAAUCCACCUUCCGAGCUGAACACUGACAGUACGGCACCUUCUUCGGAAGGAGCUGACAGAGCAGGUAAUCAUGCUGCCGAGAAAAACCGCUAAGCUUAAUCCUUUUGGAACCCGUACCGCAAACCGACACAGGUAGCUGGGUAGAACAUACUAAGGCGUUGAGAGAUUCAUGGCUAAGGAACUAGGCAAACUGACCCCGUAACUUCGGGAUAAGGGGUCCUCUGGUAACAGAGGCGCAGAGAAUAGGUCCAGGCAACUGUUUAGCAAAAACACAGGGCUGUGCGAACUCGAAAGAUGAAGUAUACAGCCUGACACCUGCCCGGUGCUGGAAGGUUAAGAGGAGAGGUCAUCGCAAGAGAAGCCUUGAAUUGAAGCCCCAGUAAACGGCGGCCGUAACUAUAACGGUCCUAAGGUAGCGAAAUUCCUUGUCGGGUAAGUUCCGACCUGCACGAAUGGUGUAAUGAUCCGGACGCUGUCUCGGCCAUGAUCUCAGUGAAAUUGUAGUAUCGGUGAAGAUGCCGAUUACCCGCGAUGGGACGAAAAGACCCCGUGAACCUUUACUGCAGCUUAGCACUGGACUUGGGCAUCGGAUGUGUAGGAUAGGCCGGAGGCUAUGAAGCGGGUACGCCAGUAUUCGUGGAGCCGUCCUUGAAAUACGGCCCUUCCGCUGUCUGAGUCCUAACACCUGGAUAGGUGGACACUGCUUGGUGGGCAGUUUGACUGGGGUGGUCGCCUCCAAAAGCGUAACGGAGGCUUCCAAAGGUGCCCUCGGGCCGAUUGGUAACCGGCCUUAUAGAGUGCAAAGGCAUAAGGGCGCUUGACUGGGAGGGAGACAUCCCGAGCAGGAACGAAAGUUGGGCUUAGUGAUCCGGUGCAAGUGUAUGGAAACUGCAUCGCUCAAAGGAUAAAAGGUACUCCGGGGAUAACAGGCUGAUCCCCCCCAAGAGCUCAUAUCGACGGGGUGGUUUGGCACCUCGAUGUCGGCUCGUCACAUCCUGGGGCUGGAGAAGGUCCCAAGGGUUGGGCUGUUCGCCCAUUAAAGUGGCACGCGAGCUGGGUUCAGAACGUCGUGAGACAGUUCGGUCUCUAUCUAUCGUGGGCGCAGGAGUUUUGCGUGGAUCGGCCACUAGUACGAGAGGACCGUGGUUGACAGACCUCCGGUAUGCCGGUUGUGCCGCCAGGUGCACCGCCGGGUAUCCGCGUCUGGUUUGGAUAAGCGCUGAAAGCAUCUAAGUGCGAAGCCAUCCGCAAGAUGAGAACUCCAUUGAGGGUCGUUCUAGACGAGGACGUUGAUAGGAGGCAGGUGUAAAGACGGUGACGUCAAAGCCGAGCCUUACUAAUUGCCCGAAUGCUUUCGCAG
rfam:Prevotellaceae bacterium HTN156 genome assembly, contig: IE21DRAFT_scaffold00013.13